rnacentral:rRNA from 1 species
UCGAGAAUUUUUCUCAAUGGGCGAAAGCCUGAAGGAGCGACGCCGCGUGGGGGAUGAAUGGCUUCGGCCCGUAAACCCCUGUCAUUUGCGAUCAAACCUUACGUUUUAAUAAAGCGUAAGCUGAUAGUAGCGGAAGAGGAAGGGACGGCUAACUCUGUGCCAGCAGCCGCGGUAAUACAGAGGUCCCAAGCGUUGUUCGGAUUCACUGGGCGUAAAGGGUGCGUAGGCGGUCGGGUAAGUCUGAUGUGAAAUCUCCAAGCUCAACUUGGAAAUGGCAUCGGAUACUAUUCGGCUCGAGGAAUGGAGGGGAGACUGGAAUACUUGGUGUAGCAGUGAAAUGCGUAGAUAUCAAGUGGAACACCAGUGGCGAAGGCGAGUCUCUGGACAUUUCCUGACGCUGAGGCACGAAAGCCAGGGGAGCAAACGGG